rnacentral:misc_RNA from 1 species
GAUGAAGAACGUAGCGAAAUGCGAUAAGUAAUGUGAAUUGCAGAAUUCAGUGAAUCAUCGAAUCUUUGAACGCACAUUGCGCCCCUUGGUAUUCCGAGGGGCAUGCCUGUUCGAGCGUCAUUAUAACCCCUCAAGCUCAGCUUGGUGUUGGGGCCUGCUGCACUGGCAGCCCUCAAAAUCAGUGGCGGCGCCAUCUGGCUCUAAGCGUAGUAAUUCUUCUCGCUAUGGAGUCCUGGUGGAUGCUUGCCAUCAACCCCCAAUUUUUCUAUGGUUGACCUCGGAUCAGGUAGGGAUACCCGCUGAACUUAAGCAUAUCAAUAAGCGGAGGA